UAAACUAUCCUCAAUUUGUUCGAUGUUCGGAUGUUUUUUCAAUAUUUCUUGUUUUUAAAAGUUCAAAAAUUCGUACAAAGUGACAAAAUCGUAAGUCGACCCGACGAUAAACACGAUAGUGUACCGCAUUUUCACUGCAGCAAUAUGUCGAAGUGCCACGUCCCGCGAUGCCGGAGCAGAAAAAUUUUCAAAACUUGGGGAUACUGUUUUAACCUAUAAUCAGCAAAGAAGACAUCUUUGUACUGGAGCUAUCCAAAGCAUUCGCUUCUUGGAUCUUCCUAAACGUUCCGUUCCAAUGAUUUCACACAAAAUUCCAAAUUUAUAUAUUAACUUCUUGCGAAAGUGCAAAAUAUUUAUUUGCAAUCAAUUCGGAAGAUGACCCGGCGUGGAGGAAAUGUUUUUCUCGUUUUUCAGAAACGCCAAUUUAGUCGCGGCUGAACGGCUGAACACUCCAAACCGAAACCAUUGAAAGCGUCGCGAUGAUUCUUGAUAGCUGCUUCAAUAAAAGAGAAAAAAAAUCAGCAGUGUGGGAGUUAAUCUUUCAUCAUACUAUCAACGACACGAAACG